UGGCGGGUGUCAGUGUUGGUGAUGAGCCUUACAAGCAGGGGUCGCUGGUUCGAUCCCAGCUGCGCCUACCU
rnacentral:tRNA from 1 species